GGUUAAGCGACUAAGCGUACACGGUGGAUGCCCUGGCAGUCAGAGGCGAUGAAGGACGUGCUAAUCUGCGAAAAGCGUCGGUAAGGUGAUAUGAACCGUUAUAGCCGGCGAUGUCCGAAUGGGGAAACCCAGUGCAAUUCGUUGCACUAUCGUUAACUGAAUACAUAGGUUAACGAGGCGAACCGGGGGAACUGAAACAUCUAAGUACCCCGAGGAAAAGAAAUCAACCGAGAUUCCCCCAGUAGCGGCGAGCGAACGGGGAGCAGCCCAGAGUCUGAAUCAGCUUGUGUGUUAGUGGAACGGUCUGGAAAGUCCGACGGUACAGGGUGAUAGUCCCGUACACCAAAAUGCACAGGCUGUGAACUCGAAGAGUAGGGCGGGACACGUGGUAUCCUGUCUGAAUAUGGGGGGACCAUCCUCCAAGGCUAAAUACUCCUGACUGACCGAUAGUGAACCAGUACCGUGAGGGAAAGGCGAAAAGAACCCCGGCGAGGGGAGUGAAAAAGAACCUGAAACCGUGUACGUACAAGCAGUGGGAGCACCUUCGGGUGUGACUGCGUACCUUUUGUAUAAUGGGUCAGCGACUUAUAUUCUGUAGCAAGGUUAACCGUAUAGGGGAGCCGCAGGGAAACCGAGUCUUAACUGGGCGUUAAGUUGCAGGGUAUAGACCCGAAACCCGGUGAUCUAGCCAUGGGCAGGUUGAAGGUUGGGUAACACUAACUGGAGGACCGAACCGACUAAUGUUGAAAAAUUAGCGGAUGACUUGUGGCUGGGGGUGAAAGGCCAAUCAAACCGGGAGAUAGCUGGUUCUCCCCGAAAGCUAUUUAGGUAGCGCCUCGUGAACUCAUCUUCGGGGGUAGAGCACUGUUUCGGCUAGGGGGUCAUCCCGACUUACCAACCCGAUGCAAACUACGAAUACCGAAGAAUGUUAUCACGGGAGACACACGGCGGGUGCUAACGUCCGUCGUGAAGAGGGAAACAACCCAGACCGCCAGCUAAGGUCCCAAAGUCAUGGUUAAGUGGGAAACGAUGUGGGAAGGCACAGACAGCCAGGAUGUUGGCUUAGAAGCAGCCAUCAUUUAAAGAAAGCGUAAUAGCUCACUGGUCAAGUCGGCCUGCGCGGAAGAUGUAACGGGGCUAAACCAUGCACCGAAGCUGCGGCAGCGACACUAUGUGUUGUUGGGUAGGGGAGCGUUCUGUAAGCCUGCGAAGGUGACCUGUGAGGGUUGCUGGAGGUAUCAGAAGUGCGAAUGCUGACAUAAGUAACGAUAAAGCGGGUGAAAAGCCCGCUCGCCGGAAGACCAAGGGUUCCUGUCCAACGUUAAUCGGGGCAGGGUGAGUCGACCCCUAAGGCGAGGCCGAAAGGCGUAGUCGAUGGGAAACAGGUUAAUAUUCCUGUACUUGGUGUUACUGCGAAGGGGGGACGGAGAAGGCUAUGUUAGCCGGGCGACGGUUGUCCCGGUUUAAGCAUGUAGGCUGAUUGUCCAGGCAAAUCCGGAUAAUCAAGGCUGAGGUGUGAUGACGAGGCACUACGGUGCUGAAGUAACAAAUGCCCUGCUUCCAGGAAAAGCCUCUAAGCAUCAGGUAACAUCAAAUCGUACCCCAAACCGACACAGGUGGUCAGGUAGAGAAUACCAAGGCGCUUGAGAGAACUCGGGUGAAGGAACUAGGCAAAAUGGUGCCGUAACUUCGGGAGAAGGCACGCUGGUGUGUAGGUGAAGCCCCUGCGGGUGGAGCUGAGACCAGUCGAAGAUACCAGCUGGCUGCAACUGUUUAUUAAAAACACAGCACUGUGCAAACACGAAAGUGGACGUAUACGGUGUGACGCCUGCCCGGUGCCGGAAGGUUAAUUGAUGGGGUUAUCCGUAAGGAGAAGCUCUUGAUCGAAGCCCCGGUAAACGGCGGCCGUAACUAUAACGGUCCUAAGGUAGCGAAAUUCCUUGUCGGGUAAGUUCCGACCUGCACGAAUGGCGUAAUGAUGGCCAGGCUGUCUCCACCCGAGACUCAGUGAAAUUGAACUCGCUGUGAAGAUGCAGUGUACCCGCGGCAAGACGGAAAGACCCCGUGAACCUUUACUAUAGCUUGACACUGAACAUUGAGCCUUGAUGUGUAGGAUAGGUGGGAGGCUUUGAAGCGUGGACGCCAGUCUGCGUGGAGCCAACCUUGAAAUACCACCCUUUAAUGUUUGAUGUUCUAACGUUGGCCCCUGACCGGGGUUGCGGACAGUGUCUGGUGGGUAGUUUGACUGGGGCGGUCUCCUCCCAAAGCGUAACGGAGGAGCACGAAGGUUAGCUAAUCCUGGUCGGACAUCAGGAGGUUAGUGCAAUGGCAUAAGCUAGCUUGACUGCGAGCGUGACGGCGCGAGCAGGUGCGAAAGCAGGUCAUAGUGAUCCGGUGGUUCUGAAUGGAAGGGCCAUCGCUCAACGGAUAAAAGGUACUCCGGGGAUAACAGGCUGAUACCGCCCAAGAGUUCAUAUCGACGGCGGUGUUUGGCACCUCGAUGUCGGCUCAUCACAUCCUGGGGCUGAAGUAGGUCCCAAGGGUAUGGCUGUUCGCCAUUUAAAGUGGUACGCGAGCUGGGUUUAGAACGUCGUGAGACAGUUCGGUCCCUAUCUGCCGUGGGCGCUGGAGAAUUGAGGGGGGCUGCUCCUAGUACGAGAGGACCGGAGUGGACGCAUCACUGGUGUUCGGGUUGUCAUGCCAAUGGCACUGCCCGGUAGCUAAAUGCGGAAGAGAUAAGUGCUGAAAGCAUCUAAGCACGAAACUUGCCCCGAGAUGAGUUCUCCCUGAGACUUUAAGUCUCCUGAAGGAACGUUGAAGACGACGACGUUGAUAGGCCGGGUGUGUAAGCGCAGCGAUGCGUUGAGCUAACCGGUACUAAUGAACCGUGAGGCUUAACCUU
rnacentral:rRNA from 1 species